GAUGGUCAUCACCAUUUUCUGGUUAACCUCCACCAAGUCCUCGGGCAGGGCGUAGACUUUGGCUCCGAUCUUCCUCGCCAUUGACACGGCAUACCUGUUGCAGGAAAGGGUCUCGGUUAGGAUCACUAAACAAUGGAGCGAUGUUCUCAUCUUGCCCUGCCGGUGUGUUACUGGGUGUGCUUGUCUUCUCUACACUGACAGAAACUGGGAAAGCGUUCACUGUGUGAUGUGAGAACAGCCCCCUCUCCUUGUUCAAACAUCUAGAGUGUGAAGGCUAAUGGCUUCGGUCCACUGCAAAAAUAAAAACCUUUCCUCUUGUUCUGUGA